UUCGAGCGAGAACCAGGCCUUCGGGCUUGGGGAAAGCGGCGAACGGGUGAGUAACACGUGGGUAACCCACCCUUGGUUCUGGGAUAGCCCGGGGAAACCCGGAUUAAUACCGGAUGGCCCAACAGCUCUUCGGGGCGGUUGGAAAAGGUAGCUUCGGCCUCCGACCAAGGACGGGCCCGCGGCGGAUUAGCUUGUUGGUGAGGUAACGGCUCACCAAGGCGACGAUCCGUAGCUGGUCUGAGAGGACGAUCAGCCACACUGGGACUGAGACACGGCCCAGACUCCUACGGGAGGCAGCAGUGGGGAAUCUUGCGCAAUGGGCGAAAGCCUGACGCAGCGACGCCGCGUGGGGGAAGAAGGCUUUCGGGUUGUAAACCCCUUUCAGGAAGGACGAAGCCACUCGGGUGAAUAGCCCAGAGGGUGACGGUACUUCCAGAAGAAGCCCCGGCUAACUACGUGCCAGCAGCCGCGGUAAUACGUAGGGGGCAAGCGUUGUCCGGAUUUAUUGGGCGUAAAGAGCGUGUAGGCGGUCAGGUAGGUCCGUUGUGAAAACUCGAGGCUCAACCUCGAGACGCCGAUGGAAACCAUCUGACUAGAGUCCGGAAGAGGAGAGUGGAAUUCCUGGUGUAGCGGUGAAAUGCGCAGAUAUCAGGAAGAACACCCGUGGCUAAGGCGGCUCUCUAGUACGGUACUGACGCUGAGACGCGAAAGCGUGGGGAGCGAACAGGAUUAGAUACCCUGGUAGUCCACGCCGUA
rnacentral:rRNA from 1 species